GAGAAGAUCGCACAGAUGAGCAGACAUGUUGGAGUGUUUUCUUGUUUUGUUCGGACACUCAUAUUCAGCAAAUCUUUUUGGCCGCUAUUGCAGUUCGGCUUUCUACAAGAAUGUAAAGAUGCCAGUGUUGGAGACAGCUCAGAUUCUGAUUUCACUGAAGAUGCCAAGGUUGGGAGUCAUCAAGAGGUACGG